rnacentral:rRNA from 2 species
UGCCUAAUACAUGCAAGUCGAACGCGUUGGCCCAAUUGAUUGAUGGUGCUUGCACCUGAUUGAUUUUAGGUCGCCAACGAGUGGCGGACGGGUGAGUAACACGUAGAGUAACCUGCCCAGAAGCGGGGGACAACAUUUGGAAACAGAUGCUAAUACCGCAUAACAACGUUAGUUACGCAUGAACAACGCUUAAAAGAUGGCUUCUCGCUAUCACUUCUGGAUGGACCUGCGGUGCAUUAGCUUGUUGGUGGGGUAAUGGCCUACCAACGGCGAUGAUGCAUAGCCGAGUUGAGAGACUGAUCGGCCACAAUGGGACUGAGACACGGCCCAUACUCCUACGGGAGGCAGCAGUACGGAAUCUUCCACAAUGGGCGCAAGCCUGAUGGAGCAACACCGCGUGAGUGAAGAAUGGUUUCGGCUCGUAUAGCUCUGUUGUUGAAAGAAGAACACGUAUGAGAGUAACUAGUUCAUACGUUGACGGUAUACAACCAGAGAGUCACUGCUAACUACGUGCCAGCAGCCGCGGUAGACGUANGUGGCCAGCGUCAUCCGGAUCUAUUGGGCGUACAUGAGAGUGCAGGC